CCCCUAGACGUUCUGGGCUGCACGCGCGCUACAAUAAUACGCACAGCGAGUAUCACCGAGCUCGAAAGGGCAAGGUAAGCAAUAGAAAAGGUACUGUAAUGGUUAUAGAUCCUUGUAAUUAUUGAUCUUCAACGAGGAAUUCCUAGUAAGUAUGUGUCAUCAUCACGCACUGAUUACGUCCCUGCCCUUUGUACACACCGCCCGUCGCUCCUACCGAUUGGGUGAGCCGAUGAAACUCUCGGAUGUAGGCUAUUCAUAGCCCGCAGAAGAGAUUUGAAUCGUAGCGCUUAGAGGAAGGAGGAGUCGUAACA
rnacentral:rRNA from 1 species